CGGGGAAUCCUGACAAAGCAGGAAAUGACUUCGGGAGGACACGAGUCACCAGGACAGAAGGGCAGGCUGGGAUCCUGGUCCAAGCUACUUCCAAUCCCUUUGUCCAGAAAAACCAUUUCUGGGGAGAUUUCUUGGUCAGGAAGUUAUUUGCCUUGCACACAUGACGAUCUGAAGCUGAUACCCAGAACCCAUAGCAGAAAGCCAGGUUUGGUGGUGUGCUGCAUGCUUUAAAUUCUAACACUGGAAGGCAGAGACAGGAGGAUCCCUGCAACUACCUGGACAACUGACCUAGUCUAAGCACAUAAUGAAGUCGGACUUGGGGGAUGAUGGCUGGAGCUAUUUGUGUUUCUUC